UCAAAUCCAAAGUCUAGAUGGAGAGAAAGGGCUACCAACCUCAAAGAAGCUUCAAUCCAAGCUCAAUGGGUGAAAAUCUUCACUCUUGCAAGCUCCAAGUCCAAGCUCCAAGCACCAAGGAAGAAGAGAGGGUGAGGAAGAUGCUCCAAGUCCUCUAAUAGCUCUCAAUCUUCUUCUUCUUCCUUCCUUCUUCUCCUUCUCCUUCUUCUUCUUCUCCUCUACCAAGGGUGUGGAGAGAGUUGAGAGAAGAGAAAUGAGGAGAAGAGAGGGUGGAGGGGUCAUAUAGACCCUCUAUUGUAACAAAAUCCCAAGAGGCCCCUCAAAAAUCCAAUAUUGCAUCAGCCCGGUCUGGGCAGUUUUCGCCCAGAGGGACCGGUCUCUCCCCAGCAGGGACCGGUCUCUCGCUGCGAACCCGAAAAACCAACGUUCGGGAACCGGUCUCUCCCCGCGCGGGACCGGUCUCUUACUGCGAGAGCGCGUUCGGGGACCGGUCUCGCCCGCCAGGGACCGGUUGCCUCAGGGCUGCCGCAACACUGCUCACUGGGGGACCGGUCUCUCCUUUCAGGGACCGGUCCCCGAGAGUAAAAACUCUCAGGACUUGUCCAGAAUUCCAGUUUUCGAACUUUUUAGGUCGGAAAACAUUCUACAACCCUCCACCAAGCGUGGAAAAGCUCGAAAUACA
rnacentral:lncRNA from 1 species